AUUGAACGCUGGCGGCAGGCCUAACACAUGCAAGUCGAGCGGAUGAAGGGAGCUUGCUCCUGGAUUCAGCGGCGGACGGGUGAGUAAUGCCUAGGAAUCUGCCUGGUAUUGGGGGAUAACGUCCGGAAACGGGCGCUAAUACCGCAUACGUCCUGAUGGAGAAAGUGGGGGAUCUUCGGACCUCACGCUAUCAGAUGAGCCUAGGUCGGAUUAGCUAGUUGGUGGGGUAAAGGCCUACCAAGGCGACGAUCCGUAACUGGUCUGAGAGGAUGAUCAGUCACACUGGAACUGAGACACGGUCCAGACUCCUACGGGAGGCAGCAGUGGGGAAUAUUGGACAAUGGGCGAAAGCCUGAUCCAGCCAUGCCGCGUGUGUGAAGAAGGUCUUCGGAUUGUAAAGCACUUUAAGUUGGGAGGAAGGGCAGUAAGUUAAUACCUUGCUGUUUUGACGGUACCAACAGAAUAAGCACCGGCUAACUUCGUG
rnacentral:rRNA from 1 species